CACGACGUCGACAAGAACCCAAAUUUUUCACUCCGUUCUUUUCGUGUUUGUCGCCAUCAUCAUGAAGAUGUCAAGAGAUCACCAGUAACAAAGCUCACAAUGAUCUGAUUAUGAUUUAGGCCUACAACUAAAAAGGGCCAGUAAUUCCUGAAACCAAGUACAGAUGGAGUCUCCCCUACCGACACAGUGAAGGCUGCAGGGUAUAAAGGAGAUCAACUGCCUUGGAAAACAUCAGUAUCAUCAAGACAUCUUAGCAGCUCAUCUGAGGAUC